CUUAGAGUUUGAUCCUGGCUCAGGAUGAACGCUGGCGGUAUGCUUAACACAUGCAAGUCGAACGGUGUCUUCGGACAUAGUGGCGGACGGGUGAGUAACGCGUGAGAAUCUAGCUUCAGGUCUGGGACAACCACUGGAAACGGUGGCUAAUACCGGAUGUGCCGGAAGGUGAAAGGCUUGCUGCCUGAAGAUGAGCUCGCGUCCGAUUAGCUAGUAGGGUGGGGUAAGAGCCUACCUAGGCGAACGAUCGGUAGCUGGUCUGAAAAGAUGAACAGCCACACUGGGACUGAAACACCGCCCAGACUCCUACGGGAGGCAGCAGUGGGGAAUUUUCCGCAAUGGGCGAAAGCCUGACGGAGCAAUACCGCGUGAGGGAGGAAGGCUCUUGGGUUGUAAACCUCUUUUCUCAGGGAAGAACACAAUGACGGUACCUGAGGAAUCAGCAUCGGCUAACUCCGUGCCAGCAGCCGCGGUAAUACGGAGGAUGCAAGCGUUAUCCGGAAUGAUUGGGCGUAAAGCGUCCGCAGGUGGCUGUGUAAGUCUGCUGUCAAAGAGCAAAGCUCAACUUUGUAAAGGCAGUGGAAACUACACGGCUAGAGUGCGUUCGGGGCAGAGGGAAUUCCUGGUGUAGCGGUGAAAUGCGUAGAGAUCAGGAAGAACACCGGUGGCGAAGGCGCUCUGCUAGGCCGCAACUGACACUGAGGGACGAAAGCUAGGGGAGCGAAUGGGAUUAGAUACCCCAGUAGUCCUAGCUGUAAAC
rnacentral:rRNA from 1 species